UACGUAGGGAGCGAGCGUUGUCCGGAUUCAUUGGGCGUAAAGAGCUCGUAGGCGGCUUGGUAAGUCGGAUGUGAAACCUCCAGGCUCAACCUGGAGUCGCCAUCCGAUACUGCCAUGGCUAGAGUCCGGUAGGGGCCCGCGGAAUUCCUGGUGUAGCGGUGAAAUGCGCAGAUAUCAGGAGGAACACCGAUGGCGAAGGCAGUGGGCUGGGCCGGCACUGACGCUGAGGAGCGAAAGCGUGGGGAGCGAACAGG
rnacentral:rRNA from 1 species